UUUUUUUUCGUUUUAGGAACUUAUCCAGGAAUACAUUGAGCAGGUUCAUUCCACAUUCUCUUGAUGAGCUGUUCAUUACAUCAUUGUAAUUUUUUUGAGUAAAUCCAUGUAAUUGUUAUGUCAAACAAAACAACUCAUAAAAAUAAGCAAUGCCAUCUUUGGUUCACUUGCAAUUUCAAUGAGUCAUUGUGAGUGAUCUUUCUCUAUUUUAUUCAAAAUCAUAUAUGUCUUAUUCAUUUCAAUCCAAUGGAUACAAAGAUAUUCAUCCAUAAUCUGAUCUAAUUUAUCUCUCCAUUCUCCAAUAAGUAGCAGUGCUACUUUCCCAUUCCUUAGAUUCCAACUGAAUUUGAUUUUGGUGAUGUAGCUUCGUUGGGAACCGGUAUGCACUUGUGCUGUCAAACAUUUGUUCCAUCUAAACCUCUGAACUCUUCUAUUUGUUGUUGCUUUAACUAUAUAUACAUUGAAUAGUUGCCAGUUCCGACUAUAAUGAACAUCCUAUUUUCCAAUGAGCAAUCCACUUCCUUUGGAAAUUCAAAAGCUGCAUUACUCUACAACUUUCGUUCAGUGUCAAGGCCAUUUUGGCAUUCUUUUAUGACAGAUAUGCUUCUAUUUCUAAACUUUGCCAUGCCAUAAUCUGAAAUUAUGAACUUGUAUGUGUGCAAUCUAACAUGAUGUAAGGCCUAGAACAUCUCAGGUUCAACAGGUAUACAAGAUGUAUCAGAGAGUAUGUGAAGAAUCAUCUAUAUUGAGCCUCCAGAAAACUCACAAGCAGAACCAGAGGGGACUAUUUCUCCUUUAUCAAUAUAUUGCGUACAUAACAAUGCUACUUAAUUACAAUCAGGAUAAAUUAGACACUUUAAAGGUAAAGAACAUGAUAUACAGGUUUCAGUGUCCAGACAAGCCAACAAAAGGGUGGCGUGGCAACGCCGCGCCCGUGUCUUUCUAGUGAAAUCUAAAUAAACCCCCAAAAAGAAAGGGCAGAACAGACACCACAAACCCUCACACAAACAAAUCCCGGGAAAAAAACGACAAAAACUAAACGCGGCUCCAAAACCGAUCAUAGAAGGCAAAACCUCACCCAAACCCGAGAUCA
rnacentral:lncRNA from 1 species